rnacentral:rRNA from 1 species
UACGUAGGGUGCGAGCGUUGUCCGGAAUUAUUGGGCGUAAAGGGCUCGUAGGCGGUUUGUCGCGUCGGGAGUGAAAACCAUGGGCUUAACUCAUGGCUUGCUUCCGAUACGGGCAGACUAGAGGUAUGCAGGGGAGAACGGAAUUCCUGGUGUAGCGGUGAAAUGCGCAGAUAUCAGGAGGAACACCGGUGGCGAAGGCGGUUCUCUGGGCAACAACUGACGCUGAGGAGCGAAAGCGUGGGGAGCGAACAGG